UACGUAGGGGGCAAGCGUUAUCCGGAUUCACUGGGUGUAAAGGGAGCGUAGACGGCGACGCAAGUCUGGAGUGAAAGCCCGGGGCCCAACCCCGGGACUGCAUUGGAAACUGCCGGGCUGGAGUGCCGGAGGGGCAAGCGGAAUUCCUGGUGUAGCGGUGAAAUGCGCAGAUAUCAGGAAGAACACCGGUGGCGUAGGCGGCUUACUGGACGGCAACUGACGCUGAGGCUCGAAAGCGUGGGGAGCAAACAGG
rnacentral:rRNA from 1 species